rnacentral:rRNA from 1 species
GACGAACGCUGGCGGCGUGCCUAAUACAUGCAAGUCGAGCGAGCGGAACCAGCAGAUCUGCUUCGGCAGUGACGCUGGGAAAGCGAGCGGCGGAUGGGUGAGUAACACGUGGGGAACCUGCCCCAAAGUCUGGGAUACCACUUGGAAACAGGUGCUAAUACCGGAUAAGAAAGCAGAUCGCAUGAUCAGCUUUUAAAAGGCGGCGUAAGCUGUCGCUAUGGGAUGGCCCCGCGGUGCAUUAGCUAGUUGGUAGAGUAACGGCCUACCAAGGCAAUGAUGCAUAGCCGAGUUGAGAGACUGAUCGGCCACAUUGGGACUGAGACACGGCCCAAACUCCUACGGGAGGCAGCAGUAGGGAAUCUUCCACAAUGGACGCAAGUCUGAUGGAGCAACGCCGCGUGAGUGAAGAAGGUUUUCGGAUCGUAAAGCUCUGUUGUUGGUGAAGAAGGAUAGAGGUAGUAACUGGCCUUUAUUUGACGGAAUCAACCAGAAAUUC